rnacentral:rRNA from 1 species
AUUGAACGCUGGCGGGAUGCUUAACACAUGCAAGUCGAGCGAGCGGCGGACGGGUGAGUAAUGUAUCGGGACGUGCCCGAUAGAGGGGGAUAACUACUGGAAACGGUGGCUAAUACCGCAUACUAUUGGAUGAACCCAUAUGGGAUUAGCUAGUAGGUGGGGUAAAGGCUCACCAAGGCAACGAUCCCUAGCUGGUUUGAGAGGAUGACCAGCCACACUGGGACUGAGACACGGCCCAGACUCCUACGGGAGGCAGCAGUGGGGAAUAUUGGACAAUGGGCGAAAGCCUGAUCCAGCCAUGCCGCGUGUAUGAUGAAGGCCUUCGGGUUGUAAAGUACUUUUGGCAGAGAAGCGUUAUCCGCAGAAUAAGCACCGGCUAACUACGUGCCAGCAGCCGCGGUAAUAC